CAUACUGGUGCUCGAUGUUUUCAGUUUGGGGACACCAAAAUUAGUGUACCGCUAAAGACACGUGGUCGACACGUUGUUGACACGUUGUUGACACUUUGUUGACACGUGACCCAAUUACCGGCCUACCAAGUGCCUUUGGCGACCGCUAACAGCAACUGUGGAACAGUGCAGUGCCCUUUUUUGGAGCAACGUACGAGUAGUGCCCAUGGAUUAUGACCCCGCGACCCCAAUCUACGUGGCGGUCCGCAAUUCGCUACUUCAUACUGACUGGCGUCCGGCAUCGUCCCGAAUUUGGCCACAAUCUGCUCUCGGGACCCCUAUAGGGCUCCCUGACCUGCUCCAUCUCCGCCAUCGUCAAUGUACUGCGCAUCCACCCAGGCCAGGACUGCACUUACUUACGAGAAGGAGUAUUUGCAAGAUGGAACCUGGGAACUGGAAGACGACGAAGAGGAAGCGUGGGAAUCCGGCGGCAAUGGCUGGGAUGCUGCGUUCUCGAGAGGAAGCGUUAUUUCUGCAUUCCAAGAAGGACGGCACAAUGUGUCGGACUGUCCGCGUCGCAUUGAACUGGUCCGAUGAGGCUGCUAUUGCACACACAGUGUGGGCACUCCCAUACGGGAACUCGGAAGUACUGCUACAGUACAGGUAUAUCACCCCGUGACGACCACAUCGAAGUCUGAAAUUGAAGUGUGAAGAUGCUUCAGCAACCCCUUCAUAUUUUUCCAUUGCUUUUAUUGUGCUUCUACUGUGCAUGUGUGUAACUUGUGGGGUAUGCAUGUGAUGACAAUGUAUGCCGGUGACACAGUCAGAUUUUGUCAAUGCGUGUAACGUACACCUGCAUGCUAUCGUUGAAAAGGAUCUGCCACUUACGAUCUUCGGACGAGUAUCAGGUCAGCUUGGUUUUGUGUGUGCUGUACCAGAUGCUGUUCACUUCUCUAUCUGUUGGAUAUGUGACUUUCUGCAAGUUUCUGGUGUAUGGUGGCCACUUCUUUGCUUGUCUUUAAAUGACAUUACCAUAAUUCUGUAUUCACUGCUUCCAUGGUGUGGUCUGCAAACUGCAAUCCUUAGGCAAAUAUCAUCACGGUUUGCAAUGUUGUGCUUUGGCCGCCAGCUUACCUACACAUUGUAGUUGAAUUAUUUUUGUUUCACAACUGACUUCCUGAAGUAUGGUGGCCACUGCUUUCCAUGGCAUUAUACAAUGUUCAUCAAGAA